rnacentral:snRNA from 1 species
UCAUCCUUUUGGAAACAUAUGACAAAAUUGAACGAUACAGAAAAAAUUAACUAUGGUCUCUACAUAACGAUAACAUAUACAAAUCGAGAAAUGAUCCAAAUUUUU